GCCAUAGUUCAGUCAUAGAACACUUGCUUUGGCUGGAAAAGGUCCCAGGUUCAAUCCUUGUUGUAUGCA